UUUACAAUUCUUUUCCGUAACAUUUUCCACUAAUUUCACCUAUUUUUCAUUAUGUCAUAACUAAAAUAGAUAUGCACAAAAAGGAAAAAUUGAUGUGGAAUUGUCAACUAAGUGGGGGAGGGGGUGAAGUUUUCGACUUAAUGAGGAAGGAGGUGGAAUUGGUAACUAAAGGGAGUAAGGAGGUGGAAUUGAUAACUAAAGUGAGGAAGGAGGUGAAAUUGAUAACUAAAGUGAGUAAGGAGGUGGAAUUGAUAACUAAAGUGAGGAAGGAGUUGGAAUUGAUAACUAAAGUGAGUAAGGAGGUGAAAUUGAUAACUAAAGUGAGGAAGGAGUUGGAAUUGAUAACUAAAGUGAGGAAGGAGGUGGAAUUGAUAACUAAAGUGAGAAAAGGAGGUGAAAUUGAUAACUAAAGUGAGGAAAGGAGGUGAAAUUGAUAACUAAAGUGAGGAAAGGAGGUGAAAUUGAUAACUAAAGUGAGGAAAGGAGAUGGAAUUGAUAACUAAAGUGAGGAAGGAGGUGGAAUUGAUAACUAAAGUGAGGAAGGAGGUAAAAAUGAUAACUAAAGUGAGAUAAGGAGGUGAAAUUGAUAACUAAAGUGAGGAAAGGAGGUGAAAUUGAUAACUAAAGUGAGGAAGGAGGUGGAAUUGAUAACUAAAGUGGGGAAGAAGGUGGAAUUCAUAACUAAAGUGAGUAAGGAGGUGGAAUUGAUAACUAAAGUGAGUAAGGAGGUGAAAUUGAUAACUAAAGUGCAGAAGGAGGUGAAAUUGAUAACUAAAGUGAGGAAGGAGGUGGAAUUGAUAACAAAAGUGAGGAAGGAGGUGAAAUUGAUAACUAAAGUGAGUAAGGAGGUGAAAUUGAUAACUAAAGUGCAGAAGGAGGUGAAAUUGAUAACUAAAGUGAGUAAGGAGGUGAAAUUGAUAACUAAAGUGAGGAAAGGAGGUGAAAUUGAUAACCAAAGUGAGUAAAGAGGUGAAAUUGAUAACUAAAGUGAGGAAAGGAGGUGAAAUUGAUAACUAAAGUGAGUAAGGAGGUGGAAUUGAUAACUAAAUUGAGUAAGGAGGUGAAAUUGAUAACUAAAGUGCAGAAGGAGGUGAAAUUGAUAACUAAAGUGCAGAAGGAGGUGAAAUUGAUAACUAAAGUGCAGAAGGAGGUGAAAUUGAUAACUAAAGUGCAGAAGGAGGUGAAAUUGAUAACUAAAGUGGAGAAGGAGGUGAAAUAGAAAACUAAAGUGCAGAAGGAGGUGAAAUUGAUAACUAAAGUGCAGAAGGAGGUGAAAUUGAUAACUAAAGUGCAGAAGGAGGUGAAAUUGAUAACUAAAGUGGAGAAGGAGGUGAAAUAGAUAACUAAAGUGCAGAAGGAGGUGAAAUUGAUAACUAAAGUGGGGAAAGGAGGUGGAAGUGAUAACUAAAGUGGGGAAAGGAGGUGGAAGUGAUAACUAAAG